GGGAUGAUGUCAAGUCAGCAUGCCUUUAUAUCCUGGGCUACACACACGCUACAAUGGCAGAUACAAUAGGUUGCGAAACCGCGAGGUGGAGCCAAUCCUCAAAGUCUGUCUCAGUUCAGAUUGUAGGCUGCAACUCGCCUGCAUGAAGUUGGAGUUGCUAGUAAACGCAGGUCAGCUAUACUGCGUUGAAUACGUUCCCGGGGUUU
rnacentral:rRNA from 1 species